CUACGGGUGGCACCAGUAGGGAAUAUUGGGCAAUGGGCGAAAGCCUGACCCAGCAACGCCGCGUGUGCGAAGAAGGCCUUCGGGUCGUAAAGCACUUUUCUGAGGGAUGAGAAAGGACAGUACCCCAGGAAUAAGCCUCGGCUAACUACGUGCCAGCAGCCGCGGUAAAACGUAGGAGGCAAGCGUUAUCCGGAUUUACUGGGCGUAAAGCGUGUGUAGGCGGUACAGCAAGUUGGAUGUGAAAGCUCCUGGCUUAACUAGGAGAGGUCGUCCAAAACUGUUGAACUAGAGGAUAGCAGAGGAAAAUGGAAUUCCCGGUGUAGUGGUGAAAUGCGUAGAGAUCGGGAGGAACACCAGUGGCGAAAGCGAUUUUCUGGGCUAUGGCUGACGCUCAGACACGAAAGCUAGGGUAGCGAACGGGAUUAGAUACCCCCGUAGUC
rnacentral:rRNA from 1 species